rnacentral:rRNA from 1 species
AUUGAACGCUGGCGGCAGGCCUAACACAUGCAAGUCGAGCGAGCGGCGGACGGGUGAGUAAUGUAUGGGGACUGCCCGAUGGAGGGGGAUAACUACUGGAAACGGUGGCUAAUACCGCAUACUAUCGGAUAACCCAUAUAGGAUUAGCUAGUAGGCGGGGUAAUGGCUCACCUAGGCGACGAUCCGUAGCUGGUGUGAGAGGAUGAUCAGCCACACUGGAACUGAGACACGGCCCAGACUCCUACGGAGGCAGCAGUGGGGAAUAUGGGACAAUGGGCGGAAGCCGGAUGCAGCAAUGCCGCGGGUGUGAAGAAGGCCUUAGGGUUGUAAAGUACUUUCAGCGGGGAGGCGUUACCCGCAGAAGAAGCACCGGCUAACGCCGUGCCAGCAGCCGCGGUAAUAC